AGAGUGCUAAAUUUAUCUGUAGACCAGCGGGCGCGCCAGCUGCGAAUUGGAUCGCUAUGGAGGUGGCGUAGACGAUAUCUCUGGGCUGAGAGCAUCACCCUGUCUCCGAAUCCUUCUUUCCCCUGUUUUGUUUUUCAUUCCCCUCCUUUCCCCCGCCCCCUCCAGUCUGCGACGACUGGCUCUUGACCCUGUUUCAGGCCUCGGUGAAGGCUUUUGGUUAUUCCCCUUCCUACCCCAUCCCUUAAUUUUAUUCCUUUGAAGAGUCUGCAUUUCAAGCUGUCAAGGUGAAGAGUGACUACAGAAGGGAAUACUACUCAUUUCAGAAAAGGUGUGCCAUGCCUGAAAGCACCAGGAAGUCGAAUGAGAGAUCACCUGAUACACGAACAUACGAUGUUCCAUCUGCUCAUUGAUGCAUAGGCAGCAUUUACACAUUAACCGAUAUAUUACUGUAUGUCAUCUCUUUGAUGAUUGCUCGUCUUCUUUGUAUCCUGUCUUAUGAUUACAACACAUUUGUGAUAAUCAAUGUUUACUCUAAAUUAACCAUGUUUUGUACCACGAACUCAUUGCCCAUGGAUCUGUUGCUAAAACAAGGAAAUCUUAAACAAGUAGAAUCUUUUUGUUACCAAAUUGUAUCUGACUCAAAUGAUCAAAAGGUUGGAAUAUUACAAAGUGAAGAUGAACAGUUGCAGCCUUCAGUUUCUAAAAAAUCAGAAAGUGAGCUUCCCGAGGUCAAAUUUAUGACUAAUUCCAACAAAAUAGCAUUUAGUAAAAAACCAAAAAGAAGAAAAUAUGAUGAAAGUUAUUUGUCUUUUGGAUUUACUUACUUUGGAAAUAGAGAUGCACCUCAUGCUCAGUGUGUACUAUGUAAGAAAAUUUUAUCAAAUAGCUCUUUGGCCCCUAGUAAGCUUCGAAGACAUUUGGAAACUAAACAUGCUGCAUAUAAAGACAAAGACAUAAGCUUUU